UGUCAGUAUGGUCCUUGUUUUUAGUUUACAGGUACUGAAAUACUAUGGUCUGUAAAUAUUCAAUUAUAUUUAACGAGAAAACUCCGCUUUUCGGCCCUAGCUGGAGCGCGAAAAUUAUCCGAAAAUGGCGGGAACCUACCUCGAUGGCGUCUAAUGACACGGGAUCACCACAAUAAUGCCGGAGUUAGAUUACCAUGAAACAAACAUAUAGGUGCCUAUAUGUUAUUUGAUACAGAGGCUUAGUUUUAAAUUUCAAAUAAACAUGUAAAUUUAGGACACCGUACCUUUUAUUAUCUAAGGUGGUAUUAGAAGUACUUCGAGUCAGAGUCGUUUGAAGGGCUGACAGAUAAUCCUACCGUUCAUUCAUUGCCCUGGCAAUGUUGAGAUACUAGAAUAAAGGAUUUUUUUAAAUAAACUGUUCUAAAAGAUAUUAUGCAAAUAUAAUUCUUGCUGUUCUAACCAAAACGAAGAGAAACUUUAAAGAAUCAUAUCUACAUGUUAACCUUUCUUUCCUUUUUCUUUUGUAUGAUUAUCUUUUAAUCCUUCCGGUGUGAACAGUGCGUUAUUUUGACAGAGUUAUUUUGAAGGAGAACCUUUUUUUUCGUUUAGUAAUUGAUGCUGGACGCCAAUGGGAUCAGUUGGCCCACAAUUGUCUGAUUUAGACUAAUUUUUAAGGAUAAAUAAAAUAUAAUGUACGUU